rnacentral:rRNA from 1 species
CCUACGGGUGGCAGCAGUGGGGAAUAUUGCACAAUGGGGGAAACCCUGAUGCAGCGACGCCGCGUGAGCGAUGAAGUAUUUCGGUGUGUAAAGCUCUAUCAGCAGGGAAGAAAAUGACGGUACCUGACUAAGAAGCCCCGGCUAACUACGUGCCAGCAGCCGCGGUAAGACGUAGGGGGCAAGCGUUAUCCGGAUUUAUUGGGUUUAAAGGGUGCGUAGGCUGUGAGGUAAGUCAGCGGUGAAAUGCCCCCGCUCAACGGGGUGAAGUGCAAUUGAUACUGCCUUGCUGGAAUGCGGAUGCCGUGGGAGGAAUGUGUGGUGUAGCGGUGAAAUGCAUAGAUAUCACACAGAACACCGAUUGCGAAGGCAUCUCACGAAUCCGCGAUUGACGCUGAUGCACGAAAGCGUGGGUAUCAAACAGGAUUAGAUACCCCUGUAGUC